rnacentral:misc_RNA from 1 species
UUAAGUUCAGCGGGUAAUCUUGCUUGAUCCGAGGUCGACCUUAUAUUUGGUGCAUAGGCUGUCCUUUGCUUCGUACAGACACAUUUUGCUGUGCUUGGGCUAAACUUCAGACGCCAAUCAGUUUGAAGCCGCCAACCAAAGUCGCAGCUCAUCGCAAGGCAAAGCCUUAUGGUCUUUAACGACGCUCGAACAAGCAUGCC